CUCGGGUUCCCUUCCACGCUGUGGAAGGUUUGUUCUUUUUGUUCUUUGCCUUAAAUGCUGCUGCUGCUGCUCAGUCUUUGGGUCCACACUGCUUUUAUGAGCUGUAACACCACGAAGGUCUGCAGCUUCACUCCUGAAGCCAGUGAGACCACAAACCCACUGGGAGGAACAAACAACUCCAGACGCGCCCGCUUAAGAGCUGUAACAUUCACCAGGAAGGUCUGCAGCUUAGAGCGAGACCACAAACCCCCCAGAAGGAAGAAACUCCGAAUACAUCCGAACAUCAGAAGGAACAAACUCCGGACACGCCACCUUUAAGAACUGUAACUCAUUGCGAGGGUCCGCGGCUUCAUUCUUGAAGUCAGUGAGACCGAGAACCAACCAAUUCCGGACACAGAACGAAUCAACCAAGGAUGGAAAGCCCCUCUUUGAGCCGAAGGACUAGAGGAACAAAAGACUCAGCCCCAAGGUUAUCCGCUGCUGCUGCCCCCGAGACAGUAAGACCGACUCCUCCUCUUUCUCCUCCUCUUCAUCCUACUCUAUGUGAAGACAAGAAUGAAGAUCUUUGUGACGAUCCACUUCCAGUGAAUGAUUAGUAAAUAUAUUUUCUCUUUCUGAUGAUAUUCUUAAUAAUAUUUUCUUUUCUCUAGCUUACUUCAUUGUAAGAAUCAGUUUAUCAUACAUAUAAUACACAAAUAUGUGUUAAUUGACUGUUUAUGUUAUCACUGAGGCGCCUGGUCAACAGUAGGCUUUUAGUAAAGUUUUUGGGGAUUGAAAAGUUAUAAUUGGAUUUUCAACUGUGCAGGGGUUUGGCAUCCUUAACUCCCGUGUUGUUCAAGCGUCAGCUGUAUUACUGAAUAAAAUACAGAUAAAAUAAAACCAAAUUAAGCCUUUUAAAUUAAGAAUGUAAUCACUAAGAGACUGUGGUCAACAAUGGAGGUCAUGACAAUAAAAUUCUGCUUUUGUUAUUUAUCCAAGUUACAUUUUUUCAUUCAUCUCCUCAGUCAGCAACAAAUACUUCUUCAGUACUUUGUGUCAGUUCUGCAGUCUACUAGGCACUGAUCCUCUCCCAAAAAUACAAUGGAAUGGUUUCUUUGUAGCUGGCAUCCUUUACAAUGUUUAAAUUCUUGGGACAUCCUGGACUGUAAGGGAAACAAAUAUUUCCAAUAGGAUGAAGAUAAAACUAUAUUUAAAGAUAAAGAAUUGUGCUAAGAGUAUCCACGUGACCUGGACCUGGGUGAGUGGGUCCUAGAAAAAUUUUUGCUUUCUUGCUACUCUUCCUUCUUCUCACUGGAAUGUAAAUGUAAAGGGUGGAGCUGCAGCAGCCAUCUUGCUAUCACAAAAGAAAGACUGAGAGAACAGCAGAAGAGUUGACCUUAAUGUUGUUGAACCACUGAAUCAACGCUGUAAACAAUCUAUCUCCAAAAUUCUUGGUAUGUGAGAAACUAAACUACUGUUUAUUUAAGUUGGGUUGUCUGUUAAGUGCAGCUGAAUGUCUUCCUAAUUGAUACAGAAAUGCAUUUAAAAAAUAGCAUGCACACUUUUUAGUAUGAGCUAAGAAAAUGAGUAAGAACACAGCACAUUGAACCCAAUUUUGCAUUUGCAAUCCCCAAAGAACCCUGGUACACUUUUGUAGAAUAUUAAUGUGAAACCUAAGUUUGGGGAAUGUCUCUGAUGAGAAGUUGGGAAACAGAAAUAGAUGAGACCUAUCUAUGGUGCAAAGAUAAAUUUUGGUUAGAAAGAAAAGAGCAAGAACAUGCACAAAAAUGUGUGGCAGAACCAGGCUGUGGGCAGGAACCAGAGGAGCUGUCUACUAUGGUUGUAUUUAAUAUGACUGCUGAGGACAAAGCUCUGAUUUUUUUAUCUGGCCCAAAUUCCUAUCUAAGGUGUCUGGAGAGUCAUGCCUUACAAACCAUACAUUCUCAUCAGAUGGGUUUUAUUUAACCCCAUAUAUUGUGACUUUCCAAUCUGACUCUGGCAUAAUAUUAUGUGACAAAAAAGAAAGUCAAAAUAUUUUACUCCAAAACAUCUUUCUUUGUCUUAUUUUGAAAUGGCCCUGCAAAUGUGUCCUUUGUGGGGGGAAAUUUAUACCUGUAAAGAAUCUCUAUUAACAUAGCUAUAUCUUUUUCUUCCUGGCCCUCCCAAUCCUAAAGAGAUUGAGUAAGAGUCUAGCACCUUUUAAAGGUCUGAAUAGGAAACAUUUGUCAUCUAUUCCCCCGAAGAACAGCCACUGUAAGACUUCAAAAGAACUGUGGUCUGCACAAUCUUUUAUCUUAACCUGAACAUUUCUUUUCUAUGGAACCCAGGUCUUUAGACAAACUCAACCAAUUGUCAACCAGAAAAUGUUUAAAUGUUUCUAUAGCCUGGAAGCCGCCUCCUCCCCACCACCAUCCCAUUCCACUUUGAGUUGUCUGGUUUUUCUAGACCAAACCAAUGUAUUUCUUAAAUGUAUUUGUUUGAUGUCUCAUGCCUCCCUAAAAUGUACAAAACCAAGCUGUGUCCAACCACCUUGGGCACAUGUCCUCAGGACCUUCUGAGGGCUGUGUCACCAGAUGUGGUCAUUCAUAUUUGGCUCAGAAUAAAUCUCUUCAAAUAUUU
rnacentral:lncRNA from 1 species